rnacentral:lncRNA from 1 species
UUUUCAAUUUGAAAAAGAAGUAGUAAAUGUUAUAGUUUUACCUGGGGGAUUUACAAUAGGAGAGAGGACUAUAAGGGCAGUUAGUAGAGGUGGAGCCAGCAGCAACUUCAACUCACAUGCUAAUUUAUUCUCCUUUUGGUUAAACAGGUUCAUGUCUCCUUCAUACAUAUUUCUCUUCUGUACACAAUCAAAGCUAGCUAGUACUUUAAUAUAUAUGUAUAUAUCCCAAAUUACAAAGAGAAUUACUAAGAAUUCUGUAAAUACAUUGUAAAUACCUUUGUUGGUUGUGAUAAUAACUUUAAGGAACAGCUCUUGCUAAGGCAACUAGGCAUCAUACAUAACACUGCCAUUCUCUUUUGUGAAGGCUUCUUGAGAUUCUGCCGACUGUUUGGGAUUUUUGGAGUGUGAUUAUAGAUUGAGUAAAUUGCAUCUUUGGAAUAUAAUGUUUUGGAAAGUUUUAUUUAGUCCCUUAAAAUGUUGUAUCCAUGUCUUUUUUUUUCUUGGGUAGGGGGUGGGGUAGAGUAGGGGGUGUGGAGAGGGAGAAAAGCUUGAGAGGUUGGUCUUAAAACUUUGAUGGUGGAUAUUUCGAAAUUAUUUAGAUUUUUUAAAAAAUAUUAUCAUAUUCAUGUCGAAUUCUUCAAAAAUUCACCACCUUUAAAGGAUUGAACACAUUCAAUAACAUUUUUGAAAAUCUGAGCAAUAUGGAAGAAAAAUGUAGGGAACAAAUGGUAGUUGUAUAUGAGUAUUAUGAUUUCUGCCUGACUGAAAUGGUAGUAUUAUUAUAAAAAAUAUUGUCUUUUCAUAUGUUUAGAUAUUCAACUGGUUAUAUACCAGAAAUUUGAACUUUCUCUAAAUUUUUGAUGUAUUUGUGUUUUUCUUAAAGGGAUAAUACCCACAAAAAUACAUGAACUUUGAUCGAAUUUUUAGUUGAGCAUAUUGAACUUUACGGGAGUCCUAAUAUCCCCUAGACUUUUUUUUUUCUGUAUUUUAAUGUCAUAUAUCUGUCCACUUGGACACGUGUAAAUAUGAGGUGAUGCGUGUAUUACAUGCGCCAAUACACGUGUAAAAACGAGAUUUGGCGCGUGUAAGCGUCGAAUCUGGGUAUAGAAUUUCGGGAGGGAAUUAAAUCCACUUUAAAAAGUCAAGGGGGUAAUAAGACCCCCGCAAAGUUCAGUAUGCUCAAUUGAAAAUCCGGUCAAAGUUCAGGUAUUUUCGUGAGUAUUAUCGCUUUCUUAAAUUUUGUAUUAAUUAACAUGGGUUACACAAUACACGUACUUUGUAACUAGUCAUAUAAUACUCCCUCCGUUUAAAAAAGAAUGACCUACUUUCCUUUUUAACCUAUUUAACAAAGAAUGACCCCUUUCUUUUUUUGGCAAUACUUUAAUUUCAACUUUCCACAUGGCAUGAUUAGAAUCACAAGAUUAAAUGACAUUUUGGUACAUUUGACACAACUUUAAUUUAAGGCCACAAGAUUCAAAAGUCUUUUAAUUUUCUUAAACUUUGUGCCAAAUCAAAGUAAAUCAUUAUUUUUGAAAUGGAGGGAGUAUGUUUUAGUCAUAUGCGUUAGCCUCCUAAUUUUGUGUUUUAAUAAUGACAAACUAAUAACUGAAAAUUUGCAGGAUAAUUAAGGAUCUCCACUGAUGGACACAAGGCAAGGACGUAUGCUGAGGAUUGAAAAGAUCUUUGAGGAAUCAAUCAGAAGAUCCGAAACAAAAGCAAGGAAAAGAAAAUCAAUCAAAUCACCAACUUCCCAGAUUUAUGGCAAACGGAUCAAAGGCAGAAGGAAAGAACAUCACACCAAGAUUGAAGUAGCAUUCAUCACGAACCGUUGACUUUCCAGAUUUAUAGCAAACAAAUUAAUCAAGAUUAUUACAAAGGAAAGAAGAUCACACCCUCUACAUGAACAUAUCUCAUAUGGACAUGUACGACUGUGAAGGUCGCACCACGUAUGGACAUAUCUAAUAGUCUACGGUGCAAUUCCUCAAUCAAGGAAUUACUCUCAAAUCCUUGAUUAAGAAGAAAUCUCUUGGGUUUCCUUAUGAAGAGUAGCAACGGAAAACUAUAAAAGAAGAAGACUAAAUAUAGACAAAGGUUAUGCAACUUCAAGGAGAAAUCUCAAAGUGUUUCAGUCUUAGUUUAAAAAAACUUUGUAAUUCUUAGUUUACAAUUGUUAUAUAAAGAGUAGGAUUGAGUCAACUUUGUAAUACGAACUGAAGCUGUGUCACA